GGGCUCGGGGGUCCCAGU
rnacentral:siRNA from 1 species